rnacentral:rRNA from 1 species
GACGAACGCUGGCGGCGUGCUUAACACAUGCAAGUCGAGCGGUAAGGCUCCUUCGGGAGUACACGAGCGGCGAACGGGUGAGUAACACGUGAGCAAUCUGCCCUUCACUUCGGGAUAACCCUCGGAAACGAGAGCUAAUACCGAAUACGACCAGUUCCGGCAUCGGAUGCUGGUGGAAAGUUCCGGCGGUGAAGGAUGAGCUCGCGGCCUAUCAGCUUGUUGGUGGGGUAACGGCCCACCAAGGCUUCGACGGGUAGCCGGCCUGAGAGGGUGACCGGCCACACUGGGACUGAGACACGGCCCAGACUCCUACGGGAGGCAGCAGUGGGGAAUAUUGGACAAUGGGCGAAAGCCUGAUCCAGCAACGCCGCGUGAGGGAUGACGGCCUUCGGGUUGUAAACCUCUUUCAGCGCAGACGAAGCGAAAGUGACGGUAUGCGCAGAAGAAGCACCGGCCAACUACGUGCCAGCCGCCGCCGUAAGAC